GGUGGAUGUCUGGCCAGGACACCACCUCCCAAGAUUCUUUCAGUACCACGCGAUGCAGCAGGAAGAAAGAAGAAACAAAACAAAAAGAAAACAAUCAAAAUACGUGGAUCAGCCACAAAAGGGCUCGCCUCCACGGGGCAUGCAAACUUCACUAUGAAAAAGAAAUUUUACAAGAGGAGACCUCACCCUCAACCCUUGUACACCCAAUUUUCUCUCACCUGAAGUUCCCCUCACAAAAGCUCUCUCUCUUGGAGACCCCCUGAACCCCUGA
rnacentral:lncRNA from 1 species